UACAGAGGUCUCAAGCGUUGUUCGGAUUUAUUGGGCGUAAAGGGUGCGUAGGCGGCGGAGUAAGUUGGGUGUGAAAUCCCGGGGCUUAACCUCGGAAUUGCAUUCAAUACUGCUUCGCUUGAGUACUGGAGAGGAGGCUGGAAUUUACGGUGUAGCAGUGAAAUGCGUAGAUAUCGUAAGGAAGGCCGGUGGCGAAAGCGAGCCUCUGGACAGUUACUGACGCUGAUGCACGAAGGCCAGGGGAGCAAACGGG
rnacentral:rRNA from 1 species